GAUGUAAACAAGCAUGUUGAUUUCGUGCAAGAGUACAAGCCAGACUUUGAACGUGAUAUUGAUCCAGAUAACACUUCUACCUUCCCAGCAACACUUUCUAAACUCACUGAGAGAUUGAAGCAUUGGAAUAAUGUUCUGCAAAGCAAUGUUGAGGACAGAUUUCCUGCUGUGCUGAAGCUGGAAGAGGAAAGCAGGGUUUUGCGUGAUUUCCAUGUUGUUGAUGUUGAGCUUCCAGGACAGUAUUUCACUGAUCAGAAACUCGAAGCUUACGCACAUGCUGCAGAGCUCUUGAGAUUAGUCCUAGCGCUGCAGACUUGGGGGAGACUUUAUGCUCCCUGAACUUUGCUAGUCGAGUCAAGGGAAUCGAAUAUGGUCCAGCUCGCAAGCGGACAAAUUUUUCUGAGCUCCUCAAGUAUAAG